GAGGAACUGCCCUUCCUGGGCUGGGUCAACCGGUGCUUACCACCUGGCUCAGGAGCCAAGAACGGAACGAGGGGCUGGAGGUGGGGGUGCAUUUCUGCAAAUCUCAGAGAUCAGAGCCCUGAAGGCGGCGGUUGAGAAAGUCCACAGCCCUGGCACUUCCAGGUGUGUGGGCGGGGACUUCUGGAGAGCCCCGCAGCCGCCCUAAGGCAGGUGCCCCCACCACGCUCCUCUGAAGGGGUGCGCCCCCUCUCCGCCCUCCUACCCUCUCCCGUUGCGUCCCAUCCCACCUUCGCGGGCGCUCCGGGAGUCUCCGGGGCAGCCGGGAGGCGUGGCCCGCGGGCGGCCCGCCCCUUUGAUGUGCGCCGGCGCCGCCGUGAUUGGACAGUCGCUUGUGACGUGCGGGGACUGCGGAGGGCCCGGGUGCUGCGGCUGCCGCAGCGCUAGCCGCGGCUCCGGCUCCGGCUCCGGCUCCCGGGCAUUUAAAGGGGACGCGGCGGCGGCCCGGGGGGAUGGGGGGCAGGCGGAGAGGACGGCCCAGACGCACAUCAUCCACGGCCCCUUGGGACUGGAGGGACUCGUGAGCCGGAGCCCAGAAAUACGGGGGUGGCUAAGACACCGCGUCCCCCCCAAUUCCCCUCGGAGAUCCUGUCCCCCUUUUCUCUGA
rnacentral:lncRNA from 1 species